GACGAACGCUGGCGGCGCGCCUAACACAUGCAAGUCGAACGAGCAAAGAGGAGCUUGCUUCUCUAAGCGAGUGGCGAACGGGUGAGUAACGCGUGAGGAACCUGCCUCAAAGAGGGGGACAACAGUUGGAAACGACUGCUAAUACCGCAUAAGCCCACGGGUCGGCAUCGACCAGAGGGAAAAGGAGUGAUCCGCUUUGAGAUGGCCUCGCGUCCGAUUAGCUAGUUGGUGAGGUAACGGCCCACCAAGGCGACGAUCGGUAGCCGGACUGAGAGGUUGAACGGCCACAUUGGGACUGAGACACGGCCCAGACUCCUACGGGAGGCAGCAGUGGGGAAUAUUGCACAAUGGGGGAAACCCUGAUGCAGCGACGCCGCGUGGAGGAAGAAGGUCUUCGGAUUGUAAACUCCUGUUGUUGAGGAAGAUAAUGACGGUACUCAACAAGGAAGUGACGGCUAACUACGUGCCAGCAGCCGCGGUAAAACGUAGGUCACAAGCGUUGUCCGGAAUUACUGGGUGUAAAGGGAGCGCAGGCGGGAAGGCAAGUUGGAAGUGAAAUCCAUGGGCUCAACCCAUGAACUGCUUUCAAAACUGUUUUUCUUGAGUAGUGCAGAGGUAGGCGGAAUUCCCGGUGUAGCGGUGG
rnacentral:rRNA from 1 species